UACGUAGGGUGCAAGCGUUUAAUCGGAAUUACUGGGCGUAAAGCGUGCGCAGGCGGUUCGGAAAGAAAGAUGUGAAAUCCCAGGGCUUAACCUUGGAAACUGCAUUUUUAACUACCGGGCUAGAGUGUGUCAGAGGGGGGUGGGAAAUUCCACGUGUAGCAGUGAAAGUGCGUAGAUAUGUGGAGGAACACCGAUGGCGAAGGCAGCCCCCUGGGAUAACACUGACGCUCAUGCACGAAAGCGUGGGGAGCAAACAGG
rnacentral:rRNA from 1 species